GACGAACGCUGGCGGCGUGCCUAAUACAUGCAAGUCGAGCGAGACUCUUCGGAGUCUAGCGGCGGACGGGUGAGUAACACGUGGGCAACCUGCCUGUAAGACUGGGAUAACACCGGGAAACCGGUGCUAAUACCGGAUAAUCCUUUUUCUCUCAUGAGGAAAAGCUGAAAGUCGGUUUCGGCUGACACUUACAGAUGGGCCCGCGGCGCAUUAGCUGGUUGGUGAGGUAACGGCCCACCAAGGGGACGAUGAGUAGCCGACCUGAGAGGGGGAUCGGGCACACUGGGACUGAGACACGGCCCAGACUCCUGCGGGAGGCAGCAGUAGGGAAUCUUCCACAAUGGACGAAGGUCUUAUGGAGCAACGCCGCGGGAGCUAUGAAGGCCUUCGGGUCGUAAAGCUCUGUUGUUAGGGAAGAACAAGUACCGGAGUAACUGCCGGUACCUUGACGGUACCUAACCAGAAAGCCACGGCUAACUACGUGCCAGCCGCCGCAGUAA
rnacentral:rRNA from 1 species